rnacentral:rRNA from 1 species
AUGUUCUCUGCUCUUCCACUGUUCCAACUAGUUACAUGUGUUUUCCUUAAGGAAUCUCCAAAAGGAUUUGAAAGCACGACAGAUAACGCCGCACAUGAUCAUGCUGAUGGUCAGAAUAUUCAUAGUGCUUUUGCUGGACAAGGCUCAGGUGAAUCUUUUAAAUAUGAGGGCACUAGGAAGCGAAAGGGUGCUCGUAAAAAGAGCAAAAGGAGAUCAUUAUCCAAACGAUCUGAAGCUCAUGAGAAGCACAAUAAAUCAGUUGAUUUAUACUCAUCUCUGAAAUCAGCCUUAGUCAGUUUAUGCACUGCUUUUAAGCAGCCAGCAAUUUUGCGGUUUGCACAUGUUGGCCUUGUGAUAAUUACUGUAUUGGACAUUUUACUGGUGUCAAGAUUACAUAUUCAGUAUGGAAUAGCAGACAAAUACAUGGUGCUGUUGGUCUCUGCUUUGGCCGAUGCAAUCAACCAAUUCAAGAUGAUGCCGUUCCUAAUCCUCUCAGGACAGCUUUGCCCACCUGGAAUCGAGGGCACACUGUUUGCUCUGUUCAUGUCCAUUAACAACCUCAGUUCGACAUUAGGUUCAUUCCUUGGAGCUGCAUUGAUGUCAGCUUUGAACAUCUCGUCAGUACAGUUUGACAAUCUGGCGCUCGGCCUAGCUGUUCGGCUGAUGGGAACUCUCUUACCUAUCGGAUUUUUGUUUCUGAUUGCAUGGGACGUUACGGGACUAACAUCAUAG